rnacentral:rRNA from 1 species
GACGAACGCUGGCGGCGUGCUUAACACAUGCAAGUCGAACGGAAAGGCCCUGCUUUUGUGGGGUGCUCGAGUGGCGAACGGGUGAGUAACACGUGAGUAACCUGCCCUUGACUUUGGGAUAACUUCAGGAAACUGGGGCUAAUACCGGAUAGGAGCUCCUGCUGCAUGGUGGGGGUUGGAAAGUUUCGGCGGUUGGGGAUGGACUCGCGGCUUAUCAGCUUGUUGGUGGGGGAGUGGCUUACCAAGGCUUUGACGGGUAGCCGGCCUGAGAGGGUGACCGGCCACAUUGGGACUGAGAUACGGCCCAGUCUCCUACGGGAGACAGCAGUGGGGAAUAUUGCGCAAUGGGCGGAGGCCUAAUGCGGCAACGCCGCGUGCGGGAUGACGGCCUUCGGGUUGUAAACCGCUUUCGCCUGUGACGAAGCGUGAGUGACGGUAAUGGGUAAAGAAGCACCGGCUGAGGACGUG